rnacentral:tmRNA from 1 species
GGGGAUGAAAGGAUUUCGACGGGGAGUCUGAAUCCGGAUAAGCGGGCAGCGGCGCGGAACCGCUAUAAAAGCCGCAAACUUUAAAUUAAACGACAACGAAACAGUUGCACUCGCUGCUUAACUGAGCAGCCGUCUCCGCCGGGAGUACUGCGGCCCGGUACGAGGCGUCACACAGCAGUGAACGUGAACGGGGCAGCGCCGCGUAACCCGUCACGCAUAACGCGGCUACUGAAGGGAUGAGCCUGCUCACCGGCGCCUUCCGGAGGGAAUGACAAACGAUGAGAUACGCCCGUAGAAAGUCCCGAGGAGGGCUUUUCGGACGCGGUUUCGAUUACCGCCAUCUCCACCA